AGAAGAGAAGAGAAGAGAAGAGAAGAGAAGAGAAGAGAAGAGAAGAGAAGAGAAGAGAAGAGAAGAGAAGAGAAGAGAAGAGAAGAGAAGAGAAGAAUCCAGUGUGCUAGCUAGGCAGAGAAGUGAGGAACACUGGUGUCAGGUUAAUGAUGUCCCAGCAAGGCGAGAGACGUCUGGAUAAUUGGUGGCAUUUGUCGCAAGGGAGGUGUCAUCUCCUUCCUUCCGCAGGAAUGGCUGUUCCCGCUAACAGGGCAUUAAUCUUGGAUGACAACCCUUCACCAUCCAUUGGUAACACUGAGUGGCCAUCCAACCAACUUCCAUCCUUAGUAGACUGCUGUGGGAAGGUUGGAUGUUAGGAAUCAUUUCUUCUCAGAAAGAGUGGUGAUGCGUUGGCACAGGCUGCUGAGGGAGCUGGUGGAGCCACCAUCCCUGGAGGUGUUGGAGGAACGUGGAGAUGCAGCACUG